rnacentral:tRNA from 1 species
GCCUUCGUGGUGUAGUGGUCAACAAGCUCGGCACGUAUUCGAGAAUGUAUAUUCGUAUAUCGAGAGGUCCGAGGUUCGAAUCCUGGCGAGGACA